CUCCUUUGACGUUAGCGGCGGACGGGUGAGUAACACGUGGGUAACCUACCUAUAAGACUGGGAUAACUUCGGGAAACCGGAGCUAAUACCGGAUAAUAUUUCGAACCGCAUGGUUCGAUGGUGAAAGGUGGUUUUGCUAUCACUUAUAGAUGGACCCGCGCCGUAUUAGCUAGUUGGUAAGGUAACGGCUUACCAAGGCGACGAUACGUAGCCGACCUGAGAGGGUGAUCGGCCACACUGGAACUGAGACACGGUCCAGACUCCUACGGGAGGCAGCAGGA
rnacentral:rRNA from 1 species